CCUACGGGAGGCAGCAGUGAGGAAUAUUGGUCAAUGGGCGGGAGCCUGAACCAGCCAAGUCGCGUGAAGGAAGAAGGUACUUAGUAUUGUAAACUUCUUUUGUCGGGGAACAAAGGCGGAGACGCGUCUCCGGAUGAGUGUACCCGAAGAAAAAGCAUCGGCUAACUCCGUGCCAGCAGCCGCGGUAAUACGGAGGAUGCGAGCGUUAUCCGGAUUUAUUGGGUUUAAAGGGUGCGCAGGCGGGGGAUCAAGUCAGCGGUAAAAUGUCGGGGCUCGACCCCGGACGGCCGUUGAAACUGGUUGUCUAGAGUUGGAGAGAAGUAUGCGGAAUUCGUGGUGUAGCGGUGAAAUGCAUAGAUAUCACGAAGAACUCCGAUUGCGAAGGCAGCAUACCGGCGCCAUACUGACGCUGAGGCACGAAAGCGUGGGGAUCGAACAGGAUUAGAUACCCUAGUAGUC
rnacentral:rRNA from 1 species